UACGGAGGGUGCAAGCGUUAAUCGGAAUUACUGGGCGUAAAGCGCGCGUAGGUGGUUUGAUAAGCGAGAUGUGAAAGCCCCGGGUUAACCUGGGAACGGCAUUUCGAACUGUCAGGCUAGAGUAUGGUAGAGGGUAGUGGAAUUUCCUGUGUAGCGGUGAAAUACGUAGAUAUAGGAAGGAACACCAGUGGCGAAGGCGGACUACCUGACCAAUACGACACUGAGUGCGG
rnacentral:rRNA from 1 species